rnacentral:rRNA from 1 species
GAUGAACGCUGGCGGCGUGCCUAAUACAUGCAAGUCGAGCGAACAGACGAGGAGCUUGCUCCUCUGACGUUAGCGGCGGACGGGUGAGUAACACGUGGAUAACCUACCUAUAAGACUGGGAUAACUUCGGGAAACCGGAGCUCAUACCGGAUAACAUGUUGAACCGCAUGGUUCAACAGUGGAAGACGGUCUUGCUGUCACUUAUAGAUGGAUCCGCGCCGCAUUAGCUAGUUGGUAAGGUAACGGCUUACCAAGGCAACGAUGCGUAGCCGACCUGAGAGGGUGAUCGGCCACACUGGAACUGAGACACGGUCCAGACUCCUACGGGAGGCAGCAGUAGGGAAUCUUCCGCAAUGGGCGAAAGCCUGACGGAGCAACGCCGCGUGAGUGAAGAAGGUCUUCGGAUCGUAAAACUCUGUUAUUAGGGAAGAACAAAUGUGUAAGUAACUAUGCACGUCUUGACGGUACCUAAUCAGAAAGCCACGGCUAACUACGUG